CCCUUAGUUAUCCUCGGUCGCACGCGCCAUACAAUGUGGCGCACAACGAGUCUCCUUGGCCGACAGGAUGUCCCGCGAGCGAUCGGCGACGCAGCCAGCUCGGUCUUCGGGCAGACUCGGUGAGAGUGGCCCGUCCUCCUGAGAGGGCGAUCGUCGAUGCCUCGGGAUUCUGGGCAAUCUGGCAGAGCGCUACGUGACUGGGCUAGACUUUUGUAAUUUUUGGUCUUGAACGAGGAAUGCCUAGUAAUCGCAGGUCAGCAUCCUGCGAUGAUUCGGUCCCUGCCCUUUGUACACACCGCCCGUCGCUCCAUCCGUGGCAUGCGCCGGUGAAGAGGGGGAGGCAGCGUCGGCCGUGUAACAGCGGAUCGUACGUGGAACCCCUCUGAACCUUCGCACGUAGAGGAAGGAGAAGUCGUAACA
rnacentral:rRNA from 1 species